rnacentral:rRNA from 1 species
UUACCAGGUCUUGACAUACUCGUGCUAUUCCUAGAGAUAGGAAGUUCCUUCGGGACACGGGAUACAGGUGGUGCAUGGUUGUCGUCAGCUCGUGUCGUGAGAUGUUGGGUUAAGUCCGCAACGAGCGCAACCCCUAUUGUUAGUUGCCAUCAUUAAGUUGGGCACUCUAACGAGACUGCCGGUGAUAAACCGGAGGAAGGUGGGGAUGACGUCAAAUCAUCAUGCCCCUUAUGACCUGGGCUACACACGUGCUACAAUGGAUGGUACAACGAGUCGCGAGACAGUGAUGUUUAGCUAAUCUCUUAAAACCAUUCUCAGUUCGGAUUGUAGGCUGCAACUCGCCUACAUGAAGUCGGAAUCGCUAGUAAUCGCGGAUCAGCACGCCGCGGUGAAUACGUUCCCGGGCCUUGUACACACCGCCCGUCACACCACGGGAGUUGGGAGUACCCGAAGUAGGUUGCCUAACCGCAAGGAGGGCGCUUCCUAAGGUAAGACCGAUGACUGGGGUGAAGUCGUAACAAGGUAAGCGUAGCGAG